rnacentral:rRNA from 1 species
AGAGUUGAUCAUGGCUCAGGAUGAACGCUAGCUACAGGCUAACACAUGCAAGUCGAGGGGCAGCAUCAGGUUAGCUUGCUAACCUGGAUGGCGACCGGCGCACGGGUGAGUAACGCGUAUCCAACCUUCCCCCUGCUCAGGGAUAGCCCGGUGAAAACCGGAUUAAGACCUGAUAGUUUCACUAGAUGGCAUCUGACGGUGAAUAAAGGUUUCGGCAAGGGAUGGGGGAUGCGUCUGAUUAGCUUGUUGGCGGGGUAACGGCCCACCAAGGCAACGAUCGGUAGGGGUUCUGAGAGGAAGGUCCCCCACAUUGGAACUGAGACACGGUCCAAACUCCUACGGGAGGCAGCAGUGAGGAAUAUUGGUCAAUGGGCGGAAGCCUGAACCAGCCAAGUAGCGUGCAAGGAUGACGGCCCUAUGGGUUGUAAACUGCUUUUGUAUGGGAAUAAAGUCAGGGACGCGUCCCUGUUUGCAUGUACCAUAAGAAUAAGGACCGGCUAAUUCCGUGCCAGCAGCCGC